AAAAAAAUUAAUACCUAUCCAAUCAAAACUAAAUCGAUAAUUAAAUAUAAUUUUAAAUUUUUUUAGUAAAAUAUUCAAUGUUUAAAUAAUAUCCACCAAAAUAUUCUCCUCAUUAUCAAAUAUAGAAUAUAUCUUAAUACUCUGGCAUAUAAUAUCUACACUAUCCAAUCUUAUCGAUCAUAAUAUUUAUCACACAAUAUAUACAUCAUAUCUUUUUUAUUAGCAUAUUUUUUUUGGUAUUUUCUCAUUUUUAGCUAUACGUUUCUUAUAUAUAUAUAUUUUUUAGUAGUAUCCUUUUUUAUUUUUAUCUAUAUUUUUCUCAAAUAUUUUUUUAGUAAUAUCUUUUCUCAUUUGUUAUAGCGGUACAUCGUUAUCGUCCUACUCAUCAUCAUUGUUUGUGCCGGUACAUUGCCGCGUUCGUCACCUUCGACAUAAUUAAAGAGGUAUUUUAAUUCCAUCUGAUUUUUU
rnacentral:lncRNA from 1 species